rnacentral:rRNA from 1 species
AUUGAACGCUAGCGGGAUGCUUUACACAUGCAAGUCGAACGGCAGCGCGGACUUCGGUCUGGCGGCGAGUGGCGAACGGGUGAGUAAUGUAUGGGAACGUGCCCAGUAGCGGGGGGUAAUAACGGGAAGGGGUGGCGAAUACGGCAUGCUACCAACGGGGGAAACAGGGGGAUGGUAGGACCUUUCCCGAUGGGAGGGGCGGAUUUCGGAUUAGCUAGUUGGUGGGGUAACGGCUAACCAAGGCGACGAUCCGUAGCUGGUUUGAGAGGACGACCAGCCACACUGGGACUGAGACACGGCCCAGACUCCUACGGGAGGCAGCAGUGGGGAAUUUUGGACAAUGGGGGCAAACCUGAUCCAGCCAUCCCGCGUGUGCUAUGAAGGCCUUCGGGUUGUAAAGCACUUUUGGCAGGAAAGAAACGUCGCCGGCUAAUACCCCGUGGAACUGACGGUACCUGCAGAAGAAGCACCGGCUAACUACGUG